rnacentral:rRNA from 1 species
CAAGACGGAAAGACCCCGUGAACCUUUACUACAGCUUGACACUGAACAUUGAGCCUUGAUGUGUAGGAUAGGUGGGAGGCUUUGAAGCGUGGACGCCAGUCUGCGUGGAGCCAACCUUGAAAUACCACCCUUUAAUGUUUGAUGUUCUAACCUGGCGCCGUGAUCCGGCGUGGGGACAGUGUC